UACGUAGGGGGCAAGCGUUGUUCGGAAUUACUGGGCGUAAAGGGUGUGUAGGCGGUUGUUUAAGUUUGGUGUGAAAUCUCCCGGCUCAACUGGGAGGGUGCGCCGAAUACUGAAUGACUUCGAGUGCGGGAGAGGAGAGUGGAAUUCCUGGUGUAGCGGUGAAAUGCGUAGAUAUCAGGAGGAACACCGGUGGUGUAGACGGCUCUCUGGACCGUAACUGACGCUGAGACACGAAAGCGUGGGUAGCAAACAGG
rnacentral:rRNA from 1 species